GACGGGCCUCACAAACGUUAUUCGGAAUUACUGGGCUUAAAGGGUGCGUAGGCGGCGCGGAAAGUUGGGUGUGAAAUCCCUCGGCUCAACCGAGGAACAGCGCCCAAAACUACCGUGCUCGAGGGAGAUAGAGGAGUGCGGAACUUAGGGUGGAGCGGUGAAAUGCUUUGAUAUCCUAGGGAACACCGGUGGCGAAAGCGGCACUCUGGAUCUCUUCUGACGCUGAUGCACGAAAGCUAGGGUAGCGAACGGG
rnacentral:rRNA from 1 species